UUUGAGUUUGUGUAUAUUUGGAGGCCUGGGGAACCACAAAGAAGUCUAUGUUUCAGAUUGGGUUGACUUAGAAAAAGAAUGGAAGGAAAUGAAUUCAGGGAGACAAAGAUGGCCAAAUCAUAAAUGCAGCCUUAUUAGGAUAGGUUUUGCUGGGCGAAAUGCAUUUAGCUGGACAUGUUAGUCUAAGGUCAUUUCACAUAUAAUGAGUUUAAGCAACUUGUUACGUAUCUCAGAAAUAGAAAUAAUUAUUUCCUUUCUAGUAACUAUAGCUCUAUACUCCAACUCUUAAGCAUGAACUGUUCUUACUUUUCCAUAAAUGUGGGUUGGAAUAGAGAAAUUCAAAUUGUGUUUUUUUAUUUCCAACUAUCUUAGAACACUCCUUAUCUUGAAUAAAUUUAAUGUAAUUGGUCAGAUACAUCUAUGUUGAUCUUUAUGCAGAAAGAAAGGAAAGGAAAAAAUUUGUGGAUUCUAAGAACUGGCAAGACUGAGGUUUAAACUAUUGGAUGUUUGAGAGACAAAAGGAAUCAGUGAGAUUUAAUAGGAGAUGGAUAUAUACAUUUCUCUUUUGACUAACCCAUUAUCACUGCAGGAUUAUGUGAAUGUAAGGCUAGAAGCUAUUAGAGCUGAGUAUCAGAAGAUGCCUGUAUUUCAUCAUGAAGAAGAAAAACAUAAUUUGGAGAUGCUGAAAAAGAAGGGGAAAGAUAUUUUCAUCAACUUCAUUUAAGUAAAGCCAAAAUGGCUCAUAGGAGGGAAAUUUUAAGAGGAACAUAUGCGGAGCUGAUGAAAAUGUGCCAUAAACCACAUGUGGAGCUACUUCAGGCUUUUGGAGACAUAUUAUACAGGAGUGAGUCUGUGCUGCGGCACAUGCCCCAGCCUCUGAAUCUAGCACUCAGGGCAGGGCCCAUCACUGGACUGAGGGACAGGCUCAACCAAUUCCGAGGUAAGUCUCCACCCACAGGCAGCACCCCCACUAUCUAAAUAUUAUUAUUGUUAGGAUCACAUAGGUAAUAUUUCACCCUUUAUCAAAUAUUUUACUACUUUAUAGGCAUAAGAGAACAAUAUAAUCAUGCAACCCUUUUGUAUCUGUGUCUCUAUAGUCAGAUUUAUAGCAUUAAGAUUGAAAGAUAGUGAAAAACAAAUACGUUAUGGCCUCAUAUGUACUGAGUAAUGUAAUGGGAAAAAAGGAAUAGUGUAGCAAAUCUAAAAAAGGAGCAAAUGGAACAAUGCUCAGAAUGAAGGUGAGUUGUUUAAUGUUAAAUACAAAAUUUUACAUUUCUUUGGUGUAUUCAUUUGAACAGCUAAGAACUGUUCUUUUGGGGAAUAUAGUUCACUGGAGAUUCUUGGGGUUUUUU
rnacentral:lncRNA from 1 species